rnacentral:rRNA from 1 species
UACGUAGGGUGCAAGCGUUAAUCGGAAUUACUGGGCGUAAAGCGUGCGCAGGCGGUUCUAUAAGACAGAUGUGAAAUCCCCGGGCUCAACCUGGGAACUGCAUUUGUGACAGUAGAGCUGGAGUACGGUAGAGGGGGAUGGAAUUCCGCGUGUAGCAGUGAAAUGCGUAGAUAUUGGGAGGAACACCAGUGGCGAAGGCGGCUCACUGGACCGGAACUGACGCUGAUGCGCGAAAGCGUGGGGAGCAAACGGG